rnacentral:rRNA from 1 species
UGGCGGACGGGUGAGUAAUGUCUGGGAAACUGCCCGAUGGAGGGGGAUAACUACUGGAAACGGUAGCUAAUACCGCAUAACGUCGCAAGACCAAAGAGGGGGACCUUAGGGCCUCUUGCCAUCGGAUGAACCCAUAUGGGAUUAGCUAGUAGGUAAGGUAACGGCUUACCUAGGCGACGAUCCCUAGCUGGUCUGAGAGGAUGAUCAGCCACACUGGGACUGAGACACGGCCCAG